GAGGUGGAAAACAAGUCAAAGAAUUAUAAAGUAAUUCACGUACAGUAAAUAGGACACAGUGCUUCAAACACCCUCUUUAAGCACUUGAGGUCAUUCUCGCAACGUUUGGGCUCAAACUAUCUUCAUUAUCAGGGCAGCACAGAGCUGCAGGCUGUUUACCUCUGUGGCUGCAGACGGCCGGCACACAGUGAAGCACAGCCAGUUUCUAAAUAUGUUACAACUGCAGCAGCAGCGUUGUGCACAGAGGGUUUCAGUUCCUUUGUUCAUGCGUUUGUCUUUACAGGUAGGAAAACUGUGUGACGGGAAACGGCUGAAAGAGCGCCGCUGUGUUUCCGACUGACGAGCAGGAAGUAGCUGCGGUACCUCGAGGAUGACGAUGGAGAUGAUGGCCAUCUCAGGGCUGAGCCAUGGAAAAAGACGCUGUAGCUGACCACACUGACCAAUCAGGUAGCAGUUCACUAUGAUGGCAAUCAGGCCCAUGGCUUCCAUCGCAGUCUGUGAACGGGGAAAAAAAAAAAAAAACAGAUGUUCACACAGUGCAUUUCUUACCUGCCACUGGCCGAUGCUCUCCACACGGACUCCAAAAGGUCUCUGCAGGCCGGUGCAGAGCUUAAAGGCAUCACUGCGGAUCUCUA